CCUACGGGUGGCAGCAGUGGGGAAUAUUGCACAAUGGGGGAAACCCUGAUGCAGCGACGCCGCGUGAGGGAGGAAGUAUUUCGGUGUGUAAAGCUCUAUCUGCCGGGGCGAAAAAAGACGGUACCUGACUAAGCAGCCCCGGCUAACUACGUGCCAGCAGCCGCGGUAAUUCGUAGGGGGCAAGCGUUGUCCGGAUUUACUGGGUGUAAAGGGAGCGUAGACGGGAAGGCAAGCCAGAAGUGAAAGGGCAGGGCUGAACCCUGUACAUGCUUUUGGAACUGUGGUGCUAGAGUGCAGGAGAGGUAAGCGGAAUUCCUGGUGUAGCGGUGAAAUGCGUAGAUAUUAGGAGGAACACCAGUGGCGAAGGCGGCUUACUGGACUGUAACUGACGUUGAGGCUCGAAAGCGUGGGGAGCAAACAGGAUUAGAUACCCGUGUAGUC
rnacentral:rRNA from 1 species